CCCUCUCUCUCUCUCUCUCGAUCGACGGCGAGCGGCAGCAGACGACGGAGAGCGACAGACGAGAGUGAGCGGCGGCAGACGACGGAGAGCAGCAAACAAGGCUGUUGUGUGAAUAGAAAGGGCUCCGAUUCUUCUCCAUAUUUCUGAAGUAAGAGUUUGUUUCUUGUGGAUUUCAUGCCUGUGAAGAAUGCCACUAAUUUUUCUUUUUGUACCACGGAGAACGCUGAGGAAAAAUUUAAUUUUGGUUUAUGUUAUUUUGAAUUAUGAAUAACAUUAUGUAUUUAAACAUUAUAUAUGUAUUAUGGAACAUUAUAUACUGUGGUAAUUUUGUUGAUGUAUAAUUAUGAAUGUAAGAAUAUGUUUAUUAUGGA